rnacentral:rRNA from 1 species
GAUGUUGGCUUAGAAGCAGCCAUACAUUUAAAGAGUGCGUAAUAGCUCACUGGUCGAGUGAAGUUGCGCGGAAAAUUACCGGGGCUAAGCUAUACACCGAAAUUGCGGAUUUACAUUUGAAAGAUAAUGUAAGUGGUAGAGGAGCAUUCUGUAGUAGGGAGAAGCAUAAGCGAGAGCAUGUGUGGACGAGGCAGAAGAGAGAAUGCUGGAAUAAGUAGCGAGAGCAAGGUGAGAAUCCUUGCCGUCGAAAGUCUAAGGUUUCCUGGGGAAGGUUCGUCCGCCCAGGGUAAGUCGGGACCUAAGGUGAGGCUGAAAAGCGUAGCCGAUGGAUAGCAGGUUGAAAUUCCUGCACUAUAGAUAUACUUAAAAGAUGCAAGGGACGCAGGAGUGGAAGAUAAGCGAGGAAGAGGAAAAACUCGUAUCGAAAGAUAUAGUGAAAAUAAAGUAACGAAUUAUCAAGAAGCACACUGACGAGAAAAGCUUGUAGAUAUUGUAUAUAAAUACCCGUACCGCAAACCGACACAGGUAGAUGAGGAGAGGAUCCUAAGACGAGCGGGAGAAGCAUUGUUAAGGAACUCGGCAAAUUGACCCCGUAACUUAGGGAGAAGGGGUGCCAAGGUAACACUUGGCCGCAGUGAAGAGGUUCAAGCAACUGUUUAACAAAAACACAGGUUUCUGCUAAAUCGAAAGAUGAAGUAUAGGAGCUGACGCCUGCCCAGUGCUGGAAGGUCAAAGGGAAGUGUUAGUAAAAACUUACGAAGCACAGAACUCAAGCCCCAGUGAACGGCGGCCGUAACUAUAACGGUCCUAAGGUAGCGAAAUUCCUUGUCAGGUAAGUUCUGACCCGCACGAAAGGCGUAAUGAUUUGAACACUGUCUCAACAAUGUACCCGGCGAAAUUGUAGUACUAGUGAAGAUGCUAGUUACCUGCGACAAGACAGAAAGACCCCAUGGAGCUUUACUGCAGCUUGAUACUGGGUUUUGGUAAUUUAUGUACAGGAUAGGUGGGAUACUAAGAAGCAAGUGCGCCAGCAUUUGUGGAGUAGACGUUGGGAUACCACUCUUAAAUUAUUGAAAUUCUAACCUGUGAUCAUGAACUGGUCAGGGGACAAUGUCAGGCGGGCAGUUUGACUGGGGCGGUCGCCUCCUAAAGAGUAACGGAGGCGCCCAAAGGUUUCCUCAGCACGGACAGAAAUCGUGCGAAAGAGUGUAAAGGCAGAAGGAAGCUUAACUGGGAGACUGACAAGUCGAGCAGAUACGAAAGUAGGGCUUAGUGAUCCGGCGGUAGUGAGUGGAAAUGCCGUCGCUCAACGGACAAAAGUUACCCUGGGGAUAACAGGCUUAUCUCCCCCAAGAGUUCACAUCGACGGGGAGGUUUGGCACCUCGAUGUCGGCUCAUCGCAUCCUGGAGCUGAAGUCGGUUCCAAGGGUUGGGCUGUUCGCCCAUUAAAGCGGUACGCGAGCUGGGUUCAGAACGUCGUGAGACAGUUCGGUCCUUAUCUGUCGCAGGCGUAGGAUAUUUGAAGGGAGCUGUCCUUAGUACGAGAGGACCAGGAUGGACAUACCGAUGGUGUAUCAGUUGUCACACCAGUGGCACGGCUGAGUAGCUAAGUAUGGAAGGGAUAAACGCUGAAAGCAUCUAAGUGUGAAGCCCACCUUAAGAUAAGAUAUCCCAUUGCGUAAGCAAGUAAGAUCCCAUGAAGACUACAUGGUAGAUAGGUUGGGGGUGUAAGUACAGUAAUGUAUUAAGCUGACCAAUACUAAUAGAUCGAGGGCUUAACCAC